AACGAACGCUGGCGGCAGGCUUAACACAUGCAAGUCGAACGCAUCCUUCGGGGUGAGUGGCAGACGGGUGAGUAACGCGUGGGAACGUGCCCUUCAGUUCGGGAUAACCCAGGGAAAAUUGGGCUAAUACCGGAUACGUGCGAGAGAAGAAAGAUUUAUCGCUGAAGGAUCGGCCCGCGUCUGAUUAGCUAGUUGGUGGGGUAAUGGCACACCAAGGCGACGAUCAGUAGCUGGUCUGAGAGGAUGAUCAGCCACAUUGGGACUGAGACACGGCCCAAACUCCUACGGGAGGCAGCAGUGGGGAAUAUUGGACAAUGGGCGCAAGCCUGAUCCAGCCAUGCCGCGUGAGUGAUGAAGGCCUUAGGGUUGUAAAGCUCUUUCGUCCGGGACGAUAAUGACGGUACCGGAAGAAGAAGCCCCGGCUAACUUCGUGCCAGCAGCCGCCGUAAAAC
rnacentral:rRNA from 1 species